GUCAUUGUAGUAUAGUGGUGAGUAUUCCUGCUUGUCACCCGGGUGACCUGGGUUCAAUUCUCGGCAACGAUG
rnacentral:tRNA from 1 species